AAGCUGGAUUCGCUAGUAAUCGCGCAUCGGCCACGGCGCGGUGAAUACGUUCCCGGGGCCUUGUACACACCGCCCGUCAAGCCAUGGAAGCCGGGAGUGCCUGAAGUGCGUGACCGCAAGGAGCGCCCUAAGGCAAUACCGGUGACUGGGGCUAAGUCGUAACAAGGUAAC
rnacentral:rRNA from 1 species